rnacentral:rRNA from 1 species
GAUAAACGCUGGCGGCGUGCCUAACACAUGCAAGUCGAACGAUCCCGCAAGGGAGAGUGGCGGAAGGGUGAGUAACACGUGGGAAUCUACCUCCUCGCAGGGGAACAACCUCUCGAAAGAGAGGCUAAUACCCAAAGGGUCAGAAAUGAUCAGAGUCGAAAGGCGUGAGGAGAGGAGCCCGCGGCCCAUCAGCUAGUUGGUGAGGUAAUGGCUUACCAAGGCUACGACGGGUAGGGGAUCUGAGAGGAUGUCCCCCACACUGGAACUGAAACACGGUCCAGACGCCUACGGGUGGCAGCAGUGA